UAACAGUUGGAAACGACCGCUAAUACCGCAUAAGCGCACAGGAUCGCAUGGUCCGGUGUGAAAAACUCCGGUGGUAUGGGAUGGACCCGCGUCUGAUUAGCCAGUUGGCAGGGUAACGGCCUACCAAAGCGACGAUCAGUAGCCGACCUGAGAGGGUGACCGGCCACAUUGGGACUGAGACACGGCCCAAACUCCUACGGGAGGCAGCAGUGGGGAAUAUUGCACAAUGGGGGAAACCCUGAUGCAGCGACGCCGCGUGAGCGAAGAAGUAUUUCGGUAUGUAAAGCUCUAUCAGCAGGGAAGAAGAAUGACGGUACCUGACUAAGAAGCACCGGCUAAAUACGUGCCAGCAGCCGCGGUAAUACGUAUGGUGCAAGCGUUAUCCGGAUUUACUGGGUGUAAAGGGAGCGCAGGCGGUGCGGCAAGUCUGAUGUGAAAGCCCGGGGCUCAACCCCGGUACUGCAUUGGAAACUGUC
rnacentral:rRNA from 1 species